GCUCCGGCCUCGGAGCCGCUGCCGUUUGCGGUCCGGACCAGAGGCGGGAGCCGAGGACACAGCGCCGAGUGCGGCCUCGGUUGCGGGCGCGGGCUGGAGCGCGGGCGCGAGCCCUGCCGGUGGCGCUCGGUGCUCUUAGGUCCCCUCGCUCUCGGCCGGGACGCGGGAGAGAGCGGCGCGCGGCGGGGGCGCGAGGUGGUGCGGGCGGGGGCGGCCAAUGCGAAACUGGCUGGUGCUGCUGUGCCCGUGCGUGCUCGGGGCCGCGCUGCACCUCUGGCACCUCUGGCUGCGCUCCCCGCCGCCCCCCCGCGCCUCCGGGCCCGGUGCGGCAGGUCAAUCAGCCUUAUUUCCUCAGUGGAAAUUUAGUCAUUAUGAUGUGGUAGUUGGUGUGUUAUCAGCUCGAAAUAACCAUGAACUUCGAAAUGUGAUAAGAAACACCUGGCUGAAGCAUUUGCUGCAGCAUCCUACUUUAAGUCAACGUGUGCUUGUGAAGUUCAUAAUAGGUGCUCGUGGCUGUGAAGUGCCUGUGGAAGACAGGGAGGAUCCUUACUCCUGCCGGCUGCUCAACAUCACCAACCCAGUUUUGAAUCAAGAAAUCGAGGCCUUCAACUUCCCUGAAGAUACUUCCUCAUCCAGACUCUCUGAAGACCAAGUUGUCAGCGUGAGCUUCCGAGUUCUCUACCCAAUCGUGAUUACCAGUCUUGGAGUGUUCUAUGAUGCCAAUGAUGUUGGUUUUCAGAGGAACAUCACAGUCAAGUUGUAUCAGGCAGAGCAGGAGGAGGCCCUUUUCGUCGCUCGAUUUAGUCCUCCAAGCUGUGGCAUACAGGUGAACAAGCUAUGGUACAAGCCUGUGGAGCAGUUCAUCUUACCAGAGAGCUUUGAAGGUACAAUCGUGUGGGAAAGCCAAGAUCUCCAUGGCCUCUUGUCCCGAAACCUACACAGAGUGACAGUGAAUGACGGAGGGGGUGUUCUCAGAGUCAUUACAGCUGGGGAAGGGACACUGCCUCAUGAAUUCAUGGAAGGUGUGGAGGGAGUUGCAGGUGGCUUUAUCUACACUAUUCAGGAAGGAGAUGCACUGUUACGAAGCCUUCACUCACGGCCCCAGAGACUCUCAAACCACAUACAGGAUCUACGAGUGGAAGAUGCCUUACUGCAGGAGGAGAGCAGCAUCUAUGACGACAUUGUCUUCGUGGAUGUUGUGGAUACUUACCGGAAUGUUCCUGCAAAAUUACUGAACUUCUACAGGUGGACUGUGGAAACCACUAGCUUCGGUUUGCUGCUGAAGACGGAUGAUGACUGUUACAUAGACUUAGAAGCUGUGUUUAAUAGAAUUGCUCAGAAGAAUCUAAAUGGACCUAAUUUUUGGUGGGGAAAUUUCAGGUUGAAUUGGGCAGUGGACAGAACUGGGAAGUGGCAGGAGCUAGAAUACCCCAGCCCAGCCUACCCUGCCUUUGCAUGUGGGUCAGGGUACGUGAUCUCCAAGGAUAUCGUUGACUGGCUGGCAGGCAACUCUGGAAGGUUAAAGACCUAUCAGUAGGGUGAAGAUGUCAGCAUGGGCAUUUGGAUGGCAGCCAUAGGACCUAAAAGACACCAGGACAGCCUGUGGCUGUGUGAGAAAACCUGUGAGACAGGAAUGCUGUCUUCUCCUCAGUAUUCACCACAAGAGCUGAGCAGACUGUGGGAACUGAAGGAGCUGUGUGGGGAUCCUUGUCAGUGUGAAGCAAAAGUACAGUGAUCCACAAAGACCAGGGGACU